GAGGAGAAAUACUUUUUCGAGGAGUCAUUUCUGUGUUUUUAGGAUUAGGGUUUGAGGACCUGUCGACUCUCAAAGCUUUCGUAUCUAUCGAGGUUUGAAUCCUUGUAGAAUAUUGUGUGUGAUAUGCAAUUUGUCGCUCCGAUUGUAGUGAAGAAGGGGAGAAAUUCGGUCGCAGCGUGGCAGUGCAAGCUGCCUCAAAGUAAGACGAAGUAUAAUCAACAAAACUUCAGUUUCAUGCCAGGAACGAUACUCUUCUGUCCCGUUGUUGGUAGCCUGCGGAGAAUGGAAUCGGACUUUGAAGAAUUCGGAAAGCUUUUCGAGAAAUCUCAGAAUACGAAAGCCAAGGUCCGUCUCUCAGGGCCGGAAUGCAGUGGGGGUUGUGUCGAUGCUGCCCGAAUUUCAUCUCCUGAAUAACUACCUGCUUCAUACAGAUUCCGGACAAGAUAACAUUGCUCAGGAUGGAUUAAGACGUGAGAUUGAAUUAGAAAAUCGGCAGCUUGGAUGACUUGCACUUGUCAAAUUGUCUAGCAUGGUUGGUGUGGAACUCAUUCAUUGUGAAGGACAAGCACUGAAGAUUCUUCAAGACGAUCUAUUAUUAUCAUCAACACUGGGAGAAUUUGUUGCUUCCAGUUAUCGUGAUUCUAUCGCAGAAGAAUCAAUAAGUCCACGGUGGAUACUCGCCACAAUUCAGUUAGAGAGCUUGCUCGAAGGCCAACAGUUGGACGCUGAGCUGAGCUGAGGUGAUAUCAAAGUGUGUCUGCUCCUGUACAGUAAUCGAGGCAUGGAGAGCUGGGAGGGGGUUAGCACUACCCUCUAACGUUUGUUGAGCAAAUUAGAGCAAGGAUCCGGUCGAGCUUAAAUGGUUCCUAUUCCAAAAUAAUUUCCUUCUUUUUAUUGUUGAAAACCAAAAAUUAAUAUGCUGGUUUUUAUGUCGAAAGUAUGAAUUUAGAAUAUACAGUUUUGCUGUUCUCAAAUUACUUGUUAAUACAGUUUGUUGACAGCUUUUUGAGAGGUCGGCAGUUGACGCUACUUUGACGAUGAUGGAGGGCAACUCUUUGGGAGUCAUCACUUAUUCGUAAAGGCCUUGGAGCUUAUCGAGGGUGUGGAUGUAGAUGCUUGGUGGUAGGACAGGGUUUUGCAUCACCAGUGGAGGAUCACCCGGAUGGUGUAGUAUUGUUGUCAAAAGGUGUGGGCCUCGUCUUGUUCAGGUGUAUAGCCGUGCUCUCCAGGCACCAGGCAGGGCUUUGUCAGCAGCUGUCUUGAGACUAAAAGUUGUUAUGCUGCACCCUAAAUGCAGAAACAAAUUUCAUUGAAUUAUUGGGGAUAAUCAUUUGUACCUCAAGUUGAGACCAACAGUAUCAAUUUAAUGAAUGUGCUCACUCCAAAGUA